GCCCCCGUAGCUCAGCCUGGAUAGAGCGGCGGCCUUCUAAGCCGACGGUCGCGGGUUCGAAUCCCGCCGGGGGCA
rnacentral:tRNA from 1 species